rnacentral:sRNA from 2 species
AAAAAUGUUUUGCCGAAUUCCGGGGACGUUUCCCGGGAGCGGGGGACCCACAUCCCUUGGGGCGCAUCGCCGGAAACGGCGUAGGACACCUUUCGGUCCGAGCCCGUCAGCUAACCUCGCAGGCGUCGAAGGGGAAGACCU